CCCAUAAGUAAUAAAAAGUCUGUUUAAGUCCCUUAACUUUAUUUAAAGUGUCGGUUUGGUCCUUUCCGUUAACUUAAUUCAAAAAAACGUUAAGUUUAGAGACCAAACUAAUACUAAUUAAAUAAGUUAAGGGAUCAAACUAAUACUAAUUAAAUAAUUUAAGGGGCCAAAAUUUAACAUAUUUUUUAAUUAAAUUAACAGAAGGGACCAAACCAUUACUUUAAAUAAAGUUAAGGGACCAAAUUGGACCUUUUAUUACUUAAGGGA
rfam:Medicago truncatula strain A17 chromosome 3, whole genome shotgun sequence.